GACGAACGCUGGCGGCGUGCUUAACACAUGCAAGUCGAACGGAAAGGCUCCAGCUUGCUGGAGUACUCGAGUGGCGAACGGGUGAGCAACACGUGGGUAAUCUGCCCUGCACUCUGGGAUAAGCCUGGGAAACUGGGUCUAAUACUGGAUAUGACCUUUCUCCUUAUGGGGUUUGGUGGAAAGUUUUUCGGUGUAGGAUGAGCCCGCGGCCUAUCAGCUUGUUGGUGGGGUGAUGGCCUACCAAGGCGACGACGGGUAGCCGGCCUGAGAGGGUGAUCGGCCACAUUGGGACUGAGAUACGGCCCAGACUCCUACGGGAGGCAGCAGUGGGGAAUAUUGCACAAUGGGCGGAAGCCUGAUGCAGCGACGCCGCGUGAGGGAUGACGGCCUUCGGGUUGUAAACCUCUUUCAGCAGGGACGAAGCGUAAGUGACGGUACCUGCAGAAGAAGCACCGGCUAACUACGUG
rnacentral:rRNA from 1 species